GCGGCGUGCCUAACACAUGCAAGUCGAACGAGAAGCCUGGUUUCGAUUAGGUGGAGAGUGGCGCAUGGGUGAGUAACACGUGGCUGACCUGCCCUUCAGAGGGGGACAAGCACCGGAAACGGUGGCUAAUACCCCAUACGCUCGCCGUGAUUAGCGACGCGGUGAGGAAACCUUCGUGGGCUGAGGGAGGUGGCUGUGGCCCAUCAGCUAGUUGGAACGGUAACGGCCUACCAAUGCAAAGACGGGUAGGUGGCCUGAGAUGGUGACCCCCCACACUGGCACUGAGACACUGGCCCUACUUCUACGGACGUGCACCAGUGAGGGAUAUUGCCCAAUGGACGUAAGUCUGAGGCAGCAACGCCGCGUGCGGGAUGAAGGCCUUCGGGUUGUAAACCGCUUUUCUGCGCGAAGAGGAAGUGAUGGUAGCGCAUGAAGAAGUCUCGGUUAACUACGUGCCAGGAGCCUGCGGUAAAACGUAGGAGGCGAGCGUUAUCCGGAUUUACUGGUGCGUAAAGCGCGUGCAUGUGGUCAUGUAAGUGGUGCGUGAAAGCGCCCGGGUCAACCGGGCGAGGCCGUGCCAAACUGCGUGACUGGAGGCAGUUAGAGGCGCGUGGAAUUCCGGGUGUAGUGGUGAAAUGCGUAGAUAUCCGGAGGAACACCAGUGGUGAAUGCGGCGCGCUGGGCCUGACCUGACGCUAAGACGCGAAAGCAUGGGGAGCGAACGGGAUUAGAAAGCCCGGUAGUCCAUGCUGUAAACGCUGCAGACUAGCUCUUGCCUGCGACGAGUAUGCAGUCCCGAAGCCAACGUGAUAAGUCUGCCACCUGGGGACUACGGCCGCAAGGUUAAAACUCAAAGGAAUUGACGGGGGCCCGCACAAGCAGCGGAGCGUGUGGUUUAAUUCGAGGCUACACGAAGAACCUUACCUGGGCUUGACAUGACGGUGCUAGGGAACCGAAAGGGGACCGACCUUCGGGAUCCGUCACAGCUGCUGCAUGGCUGUCGUCAGCUCGUGUCGUGAGAUGUUCGCUUAAGUCCGGUAACGAGCGCAACCCUCGUCGCUAGUUACAAGUGUCUAGCGGGACUGCCCGUUGAACGCGGGAGGAAGGUGGGGAUGACGUCUAGUCAGCAUGGCCUUUAUGUCCAGGGCUACACACACGCUACAAUGGCCGGUACAAUGGGUCGCCAACCCGCGAGGGGGAGCCAAUCCAUCAAAGCCGGUCUCAGUUCGGAUUGCAGGCUGCAACCCGCCUGCAUGAAGUCGGAGUUGCUAGUAGCCGCAGGUCAGCUAUCCUCGCGGUGUAUACGUUCCCGGGCCUUGUACACACCGCCCGUCACGUCAUGGG
rnacentral:rRNA from 1 species